GGAAACGUCUCUGCUUUAACUUUGUGUCUUACGUGGUUGUUUGUUAUGACUUUGCUUUUCCCUUACUGAUGGUGAGUGCUCUGCAAGGCCAGGAGAAGUCAGCAUUGAUGUCAGUAUUACUGAGGGCUUAAUAAGGAUUGGAAAAAACAGAGCUGGGCUUUUGCUCCUGGUGCAUUUGGAUGCCUGACUAUAAUAUGCCUGAUAUGGAUUCAUCAAUCACUGUCACUUGUUUCAGGAGAACAUUGAACUCAGAGUUCCGUGGACUGGAGACGGUAGCAAAAUGGUAAUGUCAAAUGGUAAUUCAGAGGCCUCGGCUAAUACUCUGGAAAUAUUGGCUCAAACCUCACUGUAACAUGGAUAAGAUCUGAACUCGGCCACCUUCGGAAAGAUAUGAAGGAAGCAGUAUGGGUUUAUCAGAAUGACAUUUGGACUCCAAGGAUUAAACUAUGAGGAGAAAUUACGAAUGUUGUGUUCAUUGGAGUUUCGAACAUUAAGGAGUGAUUUGAUCAAAGUUUUCAAGAUAUUAAAAGGAGCAGAUGCUGUUGUAUUAUUGCAUAUAUUCCAGACCAAACAAGCAAUGUAUCUUUAAGACAUAUAUAUGCCACUACAACUUGUCACUUUACAAUAUAAAGCUACCUGCCUCACCAUUAUUCAGUCUCUCAGUGCAAAGGAGUAAGUAUAGAAUGUUCAGUCAGUUAUGUGCAUGCUCUGUACAAUAACAUCAAUAAGAACAAAACCCAGUUUAUGUAUAAAUCUGUGAUAUGGUAAUGUAAGCAAUUAGUGAUGUCAAUUCAAUUCAAGAUAUUAGUCUUAACAAGAACACAAUCUUUGUGGUAUAUGUCACAAAUGUAAACAUAUAAGGUAGCACUUAGACUAUAAGAUGCUGGCAGUAGUUCUUGACCCUAAUCGACACAGUAGAGAGAGUUGUGGGUUUGUUGGGGUGUGGGAGGUAUUCAAAUUAAGACUAAGAAUAUAGUAUUAAACUUGGAACCACAUCUUUCUGGACUGAAAGUAGGAAACACCUUUACACAAAACAUAUAGUCAAAAUUAGGAAUUCUCGUCUGCAAAUGACCAUUGACGAUAACUAAAUUGUUUACUUUAAAUCAGGGAGUGAUCGGUGUUCUGUUAAAAAUAUUUAUGAAGGUGGUGCAAAGGUGUUAGGUUGUAGUUUUGCCAUGAUCUCAUUGAACAGCAGAACAGGCUGAAGGGACAAAGCAGCACUCACCUCUUCCAAUGUUCCUCAGUAGUAUACUUAAUGAAGUGCAAAAGCAAUGGCUUGAAUUUGUUUAGAACUUUGACCGAGCAGAUACAAGAACCACAGUCUACACUUUCUGCUAUAAUGUAGCCACAAUCCAAGGCUUUUGUGGUUAUAGUUACAGUAAACAUGUAUGGUCAAACAAGCCACAAUGAUUUCCUUUCUUUUAAUCAAUGUUGAUUAUCAUUUUCCUGCCAUAUUAUUGAAAUCCUUCCCUAAAAGCUUAAUUACUCCCUUUGACAAGCCAUUUAUGUGUAGUGUUCAACUGUUCCAUGUUUUAUGCAUGUCUA